rnacentral:lncRNA from 1 species
GAUUCGCCGGAUUUGCUAACUGGCUCACAAUUUAACUUUAGUAUCUACAAAUACAAGCACUAUCGGUGGCAGAAACGAAUUCUGCAGAUUGAUUUCAACACAAAGACAAUUUUUAACUUUGAAAAAGGAAUUAUUAAGAAACAGUUCCCUUUCUCACAAGUCAAAGCCUGUGAAGAUACUGAAAGAAGACGCUUCAGCAUUGUGUUUCAUGGGCGACAAGAUUAUGAGCUGGAAGCAGUGUCUCUUGAUGAUAAAAGGAAGAUAAUAUACCUUCUGAGCAGAGUUAUACAGAGUAACUCAUACAAAAGACCAGAAGAGUCCUGCUCUAGAAGAUCUGCAGAAUAUGAUGUGAUACAUGAAGGACUGCUGGAUUUGCAGCAGAACAGUUUUAUAUCCACUGAAUGGGUGAAGUACUUGGUACAACUACGUGAAGGAGAAUUGACUUUGUAUUGCAUAGGUCUGGGAAGAGAGAGCAAGAAUGCACACUCUGUAACGAAUACAAUUAAUUUGUCAGGUGGUGAUGUGAGUGUCAGCAAGGAGAAUGAAUGUGGUACCUUUUCAGUCCAGACCAAAGAACACAAUUAUUUGUUUCGAAUACCCUUUACUGUCCAAAAUAACAGGACAGAGGAUGUCAGCAAGCUCCAGAAUGAAUGGGUGUCUCUCAUAGAAAGGUACUGUCAGCUGUGCAAGGGUACCUCUCUCUCUCAGGAGGGAUCUGAAGGAGACACCUCCUCUGAAGCUGAUUACGAGAAUGUUACCGUAGCUCUGAAUGAAGAGAAAGAGGAGGCACUCUAUUUCGGUUUGAGUUCUGCAACAAGUGAUUUGAACAAACCUUUAAACUCCUGGACAAAGCCUGCAGAAGGGGAAGCAGCCCUGGCAUCACCAUCUCCAAUUCCCAUAAGUAAGGCAGAGGUGCCACCAGCCCCACCUGUGUUCCCACAGCCCUGCAGCCUUUCUCCCUUGACAAAGAGAACUAAAGCCUUUCACUGGGAUGUUGUUCCUUGUGAUAAGAUUCAAAAAUCCAUCUGGGGAUCAUGUGAUCCAUGCAAGAAAAAAAUAGACAUUUCCAGACUCUGUGAUCAGUUCCAGAUCCAGGACUUGGCUGCAUUUUCAGGCAGUGAACCUCCAGUCAAACAGCACAUCCUGUUAGAUCAAAAAGUUGCACAUAACUUCAGUAAGUGUAUUAAGAACUGUAUACUCCUAUCUGAAGAACUGGGGUGA